GACGGGAGAAAGCCAGCUCUUAGGGAAAAAGUCCAGCCAAAGAAAAUAGAUCCUUCCUGAGGAGAACUCCACCCAAACUGGGUUCCAGCAGGAGCUAAGCCCUAAUCCAGGGGUCUUCAAACUUGGCCCUUGGAUGACUUGUGGACUUCAACAGGCAGAGGAAUUCUGGGAGUUGAAGUCCACAAGUCAUCAAAGGACCAGGUUUGAAGACCCCUGCCCUAAAUGGUCAGAUCUCCUCACUCACGAACCUCAGAAGGUGACCAUUUAGCUCAGGGCUUCUCAACCUGACCCGCUUUAAAGAUAAGUGGCUUCAACUCCCAGAAUGCCCCAGGCAGCAAAACUGGCUGCGGAAUCCUGGGCUCUGAAGUCCGUCCAUCUGGAGGACUUAAAGGUACCCGACGUCUAUCUGGAUCCCGGAGGUACAGAUCCAUCCGGGACCGUCCUGGAGGAAAACCAGGGGCUCUUCCACUGAGACUCAGCCCCAUCCUCAGGAGGGACACAUCCAAUGUCUUCUUUGGGUUUGAAAGCGGUGCCUUCUACCUUGAAGAGUGGUUGGGCCGCUUGUGGAGACGAAAACCCGAAAUUCGGAGGCGUUGCCAGCGUUGGUGAGGAAGGUUUU